rnacentral:rRNA from 1 species
CCUACGGGUGGCAGCAGUGAGGAAUAUUGGUCAAUGGGCGCGAGCCUGAACCAGCCAAGUCGCGUGAGGGAAGACGGUCCUAUGGAUUGUAAACUUCUUUUAUAAAGGAAUAAAACGAGGCACGUGUGCCUUUUUGCAUGUACUUUAUGAAUAAGGAUCGGCUAACUCCGUGCCAGCAGCCGCGGUAAUACGGAGGAUCCGAGCGUUAUCCGGAUUUAUUGGGUUUAAAGGGAGCGUAGAUGGGUUGUUAAGUCAGUUGUGAAAGUUUGCGGCUCAACCGUAAAAUUGCAAUUGAUACUGGCAGUCUUGAGUACAGUUGAGGUAGGCGGAAUUCGUGGUGUAGCGGUGAAAUGCUUAGAUAUCACGAAGAACCCCGAUUGCGAAGGCAGCUUACUAAACUGUGACUGACGCUGAGGCACGAAAGCGUGGGGAUCGAACAGGAUUAGAUACCCGAGUAGUC